UUGUAAAUGCUGAUGAUCAGCUGUGCGGACGAGGCUACCUUAUUAAGUGUACACUGGUGGUUACUUUUCAGAGUUGAUAUAAAAUAUCACAACGAUCUUGUAUUCAAGAAAUUUAUCGAUACAUAAAACCCAUAAUCAACGCAUAUUUAUAAAAAAGCUUUGGGCACAGUCUUUCCAACUUAAAACGAAAGCGGUAGUUUGAAUUUAAGUAUUUUGGAUAUGUCGACUCUUAGACUUAAAACUUAGGUAUCUAGGAAGGUACAUUAACUUAUCCGAUCAUGUUUGUGUUCACCAAUUUUUUUGAGUCUAAGAAAUACUAUAAUAGGGAAGCCCGCAAAAGAAGACGGACGAUUAGCAUACUAUCCAUGUGUUUACAUCACUGGGUCCAACAUAUUGAUGUCUUUGGUAUAUCUGUAAAAAGUUUGAUAGACCAUUAAAAGGCGUAAACAGUCAAGAAAAUUUAAGGAAUACUUGGAAUUUUCUCCGAUAAUCUUGGACUCAAGGUCCCACACAGAAUGCCUAUUGAUGACAAUGUCAAUAUAAUGUGCUGGUAAAAAAUAGUUAUAACUAAAAUAAGAUAAAUUUGAUUAUACAUAAAUUUGUCAAAAAUAGUGGUUUGUUCUCUUAGGAUCACAGGAAUCGCAGGAGAGUACAAAUUAAAGAAUAAUCAUUUUAGAGUUAUUGUAAUGUGAUCCUUAUAAAAUUCGAAGCUAUAAAAAUUAAAUUAAAAUAUUAUCUUUUCUUCCAGGAGGGAAAUGAGACGGUGGGAAAUUCGUAAAUAACACCAAUUAGAAAGAGCAGAAAAAGUCGGUACACGGUAAAGAUAUAAGUAAGUCACUUAAAAAUUACUAAAUUGAAUAAAUGCUUUAACCAAAGUAGAUCAAGAGAAUCUCGUAUAUUCCCAAUUUCAGUAUUUAUACCCUGCACCACUUUAGUGGGGAGGGUAUAUUGGGUUUGUGCCCAAUAUAUGUGGGACUGUACCAAUCGGCUCCGAAUCAUUUUCUGAGUCGAUUUAGCUACGUCCUUAUAAUCAAACAAAAGGUCUCAAUUUUGAAGAUAAUUCAAUGAAAUUUGAUCCUUAUAAAAUUCGAAGCUAUAAAAAUUAAAUUAAAAUAUUAUUUUUUCUUCCAGGAGGGAAAUAAGACGUUGGGAAAAUCGUAAAUAACACCAAUUAGAAAGACAGGGUAAAGUUAUAACACACUCGAUAUGUAGACUGGUAAAUGAAAAACUGGUCAAUGUCGCACGCAACACAAGGAAAAACAAAACGAAAAACAUGACAGACAUAUACAUAACAGUCUGCCAUCCAGCUAGGCAGGCAGUCAGUUGGACUUGUCAUUGAAAAUGUAAUGUAUGUGAUAAUUACAGGGGUGUGUAUAAUGACUUGCAGCUAUUACUCCAAAAAAAUUUAAAGUUGAACCAGUUAAAAAUCAUAUAAAGCAGGUUGUUUCUGGCUAAAAUUAAAAGGCUAACAGACAGGUAAUCGUAUAUAUGUAUGUACGUACAGUACAUAUUACAUGUAAUACAUGAAUAGUUAUUUAUGUAAGUCUAUGUAUUAUGAAUUUAAUGUCAAACUCUCUUUAUUUUUAAAGCUUUGUUUUGAUUUUAUUAUUCGUCUUUCAUAAGUACUUUUAAGGAAUGUCAGCAUGAAGUAUGUGCAUGAAUGUAAGUGAAAAACUGUUCGAUUCGGAAAACUGUAUUGUAAAUUGUUGUCUUAACUACAACUGUCAAUUACAACAUGUUUCAUAAUAUUUAAUUAUAAGCAUUUUCGUCUACCAAUCAAUAGUGUUGGCUGUCUUACUUAACAAGCUUAAAGCAUUAAUAAUUAUGGAAAAGAGAAGAAAAAGUUGUAUGUUUGUUUUUUUUUUGUAUUUCAUUUCAUCUUUUAUUAUCGAUGAUUGAGUUGUCAAUGUCGAAAGUGCAAUGAACUUGUUUUAUUGUCAAGUCACUUUACUGGAAAAUUGUUGUUUCAAAUAUUUAGUAUUAACAAUAAGUGUUAUUUUUCUAUAUUAAAAUACAUUUAAUUAUUUUUUAAAUAAUAAUUUACUUCCCAUUGAAAAUUUAAAUCAUUUUAAUACGAUUUUAAGUUUAGUGUUCUCCGGUAGGUUAGUGGUUAGAGUUCUAGUCUGGUAGACCGGAGGUGGUGGAUUCGAUUCUCACCUGUGGCGCUGGUUAAGGAGCGCACAACAGGCCCGAUAGAGGCCUAUGUGUAUUCCUUCGGAUUUGAUGUGUAUACGUCCUCCUUUCAAACGAACUAACUAUAUUUAGUUUACUACACCCCAGCAGUUCGACAAAGAGACAAUGCAUAUGAUAAAGACAGUAAUUUCCACUAAU